UGCAUAUAGACGGUGUUUACACCAUUGGUGGCCGCUGUAUGAUGAGUUUAAGUGUUUAUAUUCUAGCUGCUUGUGCAGACUGUGAGCAGAGUAACAUUAAGACUAAACAUGCCUUUACAGGGCUUCAAGUAACAAUUGAUUGCAAGCCAGAAAAUGGACACUUAAAGACAAGAGGGGUAGGGAAACUCAAUGAAGAAGGAAAGUGCAAAGU